rnacentral:rRNA from 1 species
GAUGAACGCUGGCGGCGUGCCUAAUACAUGCAAGUCGAGCGAACAGACGAGGAGCUUGCUCCUCUGACGUUAGCGGCGGACGGGUGAGUAACACGUGGAUAACCUACCUAUAAGACUGGGAUAACUUCGGGAAACCGGAGCUAAUACCGGAUAAUAUAUUGAACCGCAUGGUUCAAUAGUGAAAGACGGUUUUGCUGUCACUUAUAGAUGGAUCCGCGCCGCAUUAGCUAGUUGGUAAGGUAACGGCUUACCAAGGCAACGAUGCGUAGCCGACCUGAGAGGGUGAUCGGCCACACUGGAACUGAGACACGGUCCAGACUCCUACGGGAGGCAGCAGUAGGGAAUCUUCCGCAAUGGGCGAAAGCCUGACGGAGCAACGCCGCGUGAGUGAUGAAGGUCUUCGGAUCGUAAAACUCUGUUAUUAGGGAAGAACAAAUGUGUAAGUAACUAUGCACGUCUUGACGGUACCUAAUCAGAAAGCCACGGCUAACUACGUGCCAGCAGCCGCGGUAAUA